rnacentral:rRNA from 1 species
UUUCCCCUACGGGGGGCAGCAGUGGGGAAUAUUGCACAAUGGGGGAAACCCUGAUGCAGCAACGCCGCGUGAGUGAAGAAGUCAUUCGUGAUGUAAAGCUCUAUCAGCAGGGAAGAAAUGACGGUACCUGAGUAAGAAGCACCGGCUAAAUACGUGCCAGCAGCCGCGGUAAUACGUAUGGUGCAAGCGUUAUCCGGAUUUACUGGGUGUAAAGGGAGCGCAGGCGGCACGGCAAGCCUGAUGUGAAAGCCCGCGGCCCAACCGCGGGACUGCAUUGGGAACUACCGGGCUGGAGUGCGGGAGGG